GACGAACGCUGGCGGCGUGCUUAACACAUGCAAGUCGAACGGAAAGGCCCUGCUUUUGUGGGGUGCUCGAGUGGCGAACGGGUGAGUAACACGUGAGUAACCUGCCCUUGACUUUGGGAUAACUUCAGGAAACUGGGGCUAAUACCGGAUAUGAGCUCCUGCUGCAUGGGGGGGGUUGGAAAGUUUCGGUGGUUGGGGAUGGACUCGCGGCUUAUCAGCUUGUUGGUGGGGUAGUGGCGUACCAAGGCUUUGACGGGUAGCCGGCCUGAGAGGGUGACCGGCCACAUUGGGCCUGAGAUACGGCCCAGACUCCUACGGGAGGCAGCAGUGGGGAAUAUUGCACAAUGGGCGGAAGCCUGAUGCAGCAACGCCGCGUGCGGGAUGACGGCCUUCGGGUUGUAAACCGAUUUCGCCGGUGACGAAGCGUGAGUGACGGUAAUGGGUAAAGAAGCACCGGCUAACUACGUG
rnacentral:rRNA from 1 species